GCCAACCUUUCUCCUCCAAGGGCGCGGCGCGUUGGGACACACGGACGCGCUGCGUUGAGCACAAGAGGUCUCACAGUGCCGGGAGUCUUGUCGAGAGAUCUGCGUUUCACCGUGCGUUGUCGGUCCUCGUAAAUUUUCCCGUCCACCUGCUUUGGCCCUCUCUCUCGUCCCUGUGGCACUUUUUUUGCAGAGAUUUCGAAGUGAGGGAAAGACGCAAACAGGGACAGUUCCCGCGAACGGACGGCAGAAACUCUGACCGUUGCGAGCGGACGGAAACGCGCACUGAGCUGACGAGCUGCGGGGGGAAAACCCAACCGUCGGAAAUAAGAAACGCCAGAAGACUGUGUGUCGCUUGAGGAGUGCAGCGGAAAGAAAAAACCCGCGUUUCGGAGAAGAAAUGCGUUGCUGCGGCCUCUAGCCUACGUGGCUGCUCGUUCAAAACGCCAGCGGGGAAUCCGCCAAGGGCACGGACCGCCGCGCCGCAGUGACGCCAAGAACAAAAAAAGAGAGACUCAGAAGGUAAGCAAAAGAAUGAGAGAGCUGAGAAGUACGAUCGGUUGAGGAUCGACAAACGGACGGGGAUAAUCGAACUUGUGUUCUUAAAAGUGAAAAAGAACGGCUCGAGAUGAGUCGAAACCACAUGAAGUGUCUCGACACCAGGCAAGUCUCGCUCGAAGAGGGGGGGGCUGGCGGGAAGUACUCCCCAGGAGGAAUGUGUCCCAAAAAGCGAGGUUCGGUUCUGCUUUUCGUGCCAGUCUUUUAGGAAAUGGCAUCCAAUUUUAAGGUUUCUGUUCCAUGAACUACGACGGCCCCUCCGCGUUUCCAUCUCUCUCGCCCGGCCGUGGAGCAGGUUUGAUUCUUCAGUCGAGUCCACGCGAGUGUACCCGCGAGUGUAAAGGUGCAUCGAGAUCGAAGAACGUCUUGUCUGCUGUGUCCCUCCCAGUGUGUUGAUACCGUAGAGAUGCAAGGAACAGAAAUAUGAGUGCACGCAGGUUCGUUUGUGAGCGUUGCAACCUUCUCUGAUUCGGAAUGUCUCCGCUCGUUGCCUAGUGCAUUUUUCGGCGGUGAUUCACCUCGACGGAACCUGAAUCCCUCUCGUGAGUGGCAUGGCGGGUUUGAGACUCUCGAAAAAGCUAGGCCUUUCUACUUUCCUCGUCGGUGUUUCUCCACACCGGCACUCAGAAAAAGAGCACAGGGUGUACACGUGAGACACGCAACUGCCCCCCGGUGGGUGUGGUGGGAAAGAAAUCAAGUUGUUUCUUCGUCAGGAUCCUUUGACCUGGAAUGUCUUUUUUUCUGUGCGGACAAACGCGCAAAUAGCCUCUUUCUACCCGGAACUCGCUCGUGAGGCCAGAGAGCUGCAUCGAUCUCUCCGUAGUUCCCGCGUCUGUCUACGACUCCCUUUCGCUUUCUGUUGGAAGCAGAGAAGUGUGCCAUUACCGCUUUGAUCAACACAAAAGUAAGAGUGAUGUGCACGCGUACACAAAGCAGAGUUCCGUCUUUUGUAGGGAGUUCUCGCGAAAGAAGCACGGAGGGCUCGAACGAGUCAUCCCUGCACUAAACUCACG
rnacentral:lncRNA from 1 species